GUUUAGCAGGUUGUCUACUAAAAGUUGGAGUUUUUACAGGUGGGCGCUCCGGUGCAUUACUUGAGUUAUGAACAGCACUAGUAGGUGUAUCAUUGAAAUCUGGUGCUUGGGUUUCAUCAUCAUCAUUAUCAUCCUCAUUUUCCUCUAAGAUAUGUUCAUUAGGAUAAAGAGCAUUCAUAAUUUCAUCAUCUAAUCUAUCACCUACUGCAACAUCAUGUAGAAAUACACUACCGGUAAAUUGAAACAAGGGUGAUCACUAUCAAGCAUUACG
rnacentral:lncRNA from 1 species